UACAGAGGGUGCGAGCGUUAAUCGGAUUUACUGGGCGUAAAGGGCGCGUAGGCGGAUAUAUGAGUGUGAUGUGAAAGCCCCGGGCUUAACCUGGGAAGUGCAUCGCAAACGAUAUAUCUGGAGUAGAUGAGAGGGUGGCGGAAUUUCCGGUGUAGCGGUGAAAUGCGUAGAGAUCGGAAGGAACGUCGAUGGCGAAGGCAGCCACCUGGCAUCAUACUGACGCUGAGGCGCGAAAGCGUGGGGAGCGAACAGG
rnacentral:rRNA from 1 species